CAGUCGCCGCGGUAAUACAGAGGGUGCGAGCGUUAAUCGGAUUUACUGGGCGUAAAGCGUGCGUAGGCGGCUUCUUAAGUCGGAUGUGAAAUCCCUGAGCUUAACUUAGGAAUUGCAUUCGAUACUGGGAAGCUAUAGUAUGGGAGAGGAUGGUAGAAUUCCAGGUGUAGCGGUGAAAUGCGUAGAGAUCUGGAGGAAUACCGAUGGCGAAGGCAGCCAUCUGGCCUAAUACUGACGCUGAGGUACGAAAGCAUGGGGAGCAAACAGGAUUAGAUACCCCCGUAGUCCCUGUCUCUUAUAC
rnacentral:rRNA from 1 species